UUAGUUCCAACCAGUGAAUGUGUGAAAAGCAGAUUUUCCUUACUAUUAUAUUACAUAUUCUACAUGUUCUGAAUGUGGAAUAAAAAGCCUCCGUGCACGUCAACAUUAUCAUGCAUUUGUGGAGCUCAUGCCAAACUCCAGCUGACCUUCUGUCAUGGACCACAGCUGACUUUCAUAUGGUGUAAAAGCUCCAUAAUUUCAGCCGAAUCUCUCCCUCCUCUGUAUGAGUUCUCUUUCUCUUUCAUGGGCUUUAAGGUAAUCUACAACUCGCGCUAAUACACUUAACACACGAGCCUGAUCCUCGCCCUCUGUGGUGUCUAAUUCCGUUACAGCCCUCAGUUGGUGGGAAAUAUCUCUCCCUGCCAGAGACGCUUUCUUUUAACGGCGCUGACCUAAUUUUGGUCACUUAUCUCCUAACUGAAAACACAGUGCAUCACACUCGCGGCCCACAGGAGCAUCAUCUGGACUCGGUUCCAAGGUUGCGGAGGCACACUAACGCUGCUCUGUGCGUAUGGACUUGUGGGUUUUCCUCAUUUGUGUGUGUAUACAUGUGUAGGUACACGGAUAGUGGGCGGUGUGACUCAACACAACUUUCCAAAAGACCACUUUGGAGGUAGUGAAUGUGCAUGUUUGUGUGGAGGAGGGCUGAUUCAACUGUGCACAGCCGACUGGACCGUGUGUCACACACGAGGGAGAAACGCACAAAAGGAUGAAAAGAAGGAAAAGAGCAGAACGAAAACCUACGUCCGACACACCAACCUGAGCACAGAAAGGAUUCUCCACGUCCAAGUAAUACUCGCUCCGCAUCUUCUCAUAACUUCCACCUGAACUCCUCCGGCCAAACAUGAUGGCUACUUUAGCCAAGUGCACCAGCAUCCAGGAACCUUGUGCAGCAUCCUACGUCUGACAGAACCUCGUCUCCGCUCCGAUGCCACCCUGAGACCCCCCCACCCCCACACCCCUUUACUGGAAGAGGACCCCCCCUCACUUCUCUCCUUGGUUCGAGCCCUGGGCACGCAGCGGCAGUGGCAGGCGUAUGAACUACGAAUGAGGGAGGCCAACUCCGCCGGCCAACAAGAGCACAGAGCGGCUCUUUAGUCGGGCAAACGCUAAGCGGCGUACAGCAGGUUUUCAACCCUGACAGAAUUUGGAGGAGAAGUGGAAGAAGCUCUACAGGACACUGGAAUUGUUCUAAACCAGAAGAUAAAAGCACGAGUUGAACUGGAAGGAGACCAGUCUCAGCGAGUUGAGGCCAAUCUGAGGACGUCUGCGCUCAGGAGAAAAACAUGAUGUCAUCUUUUUCAGCGCCGGCGGGCAGGACCAGCACGAUCACACGCUGUGGUUUACACGAUGCUGUCUCUCUCCUCAAGACUUCAGUUACACAGAGCUGCCGACACAGCGUGUGCCACCUCGGCUGCUUAUACUCUAGUAUGAAUUUAUCCACAGCAAAUUACAAUGAACCAAAACAGUUUUAAAAGAGGAAUGUGUGGGUUACAGCUCUGCAGCAUUCGGAAAACUCUUCUGUGAUAUUAGAGUGAUUCUUAAACAAAUGAGUGAUGGAAAAUGUAAGAGCUCGGAAGAGAGAGGAAUUGUAUUUUUCCUUUUUAAGUUAGAUGUGAGUAGAUGUCAGGAUGUAAUCGCUUGUCUUAUGUGGUUAUAGGAACACAUUUCUUUAAACUUAGGGCUUCUCCUGUAACCCGUUACAACGUGUCACUACUUCAUCCUGUUGAACUUAAAUAAAGCCAAAAUAUCCCGGAUACAGAUGUCGCCAUCUUGCACUUUAAAAGUCAUUUGAGAGUCAGCCUUAGCUGUAAAUCAUGACUUUGGCGCAAGAUGGCGGUGUUGGUUUUCAAUAGUUUUUGGCUAUAUUUUUAUAUAGUGGGCGGAAGUGUGGAAAAAGUAAUUAAUCUACAACCUAUAGCUUCUUUUCCACUGAUCACAAAACCCACUAACAUCCGGCUUUUGCCUAUUAUAGAAUACAAUCGACAUUUACUCCCGGUCAGAUGACUCCGGCAGACGAGGCUCCAGCUCUGAUUGGCAGUGAUGGAAACAUGACACCCAGGUGACUGCACCUUCUCCUGCCUGACGUUAUGGUGCAAAUUGAACUCUCAGGCGUUGGUGCUCAAAUAGCCAUGAACAUUUUUGUUUUUAAGCAUGUUGAGACAACGAUUCUUUCUUCACAUCCUGCAUGUGAAGUGAGUGAGCUCCUGAAUUUUCCGGCACAUUCACAAAGUCGAACAUGACUCACCGGGAGAAAAACAUUUAUAUUACACAAGAAGGUUAAUCACUUUAAUUGGUUGAGUUACAUGGAGUCAAGAAAGGUUGGGAAACCACAGUGUGGAAGCUUCUGGAGAUAAAACUGAGACAGUGUUUCCUCCCGAGGGGCCACUGAAACAAAUGCUUGACAGAGUAAUGACCUUAUUUUAUACUUUUCUGGCGAGGUCCCCACAGAAGGGAAAGUAAAACAGCAAAGAAAGGAACCAUAUAUCACUAAGAAAUGUCUCAGGGUGGAUUCUGACCCUGGAAUUUGAUGAUAUGUUUCUAUUUUCAACCAUCAUACUUUAGUGGCUCCAGCGUUGGUGUUCAAUGGGAAUGUAGAAUGGCCAGAAGGAAUCAUACAGAUCCUAUCAAUGUCUGUUGCAAAGUUAUGAGACGCUACAACUGUAAGAUCAGCCCCCUGAACUUGAAACAACACACUUACUGUCUGUGCGUAUUCACACUCUGUCAAAUCUCAGAGAGCAGAUGAAGAAAGAGAAUGACGGAGCAGUGACAGCCCUCUCUUCACACAUCUUUCAUUUACAUGAGGUAUUCAAGGAGAUAGGCAUUGUGUUGACCUCUGUGUAACGUGUGACUGUGUGAGUUGUAAGAGCGCGCGUGUGUGUGUGUGUGUUGCUUGUCGACAUGUGUACACAGCCUUUGUUCCUGGAGUGUGAACAGUGUCUGUGAUGAACUUGAAGCAAUCUGCCAAACAGUGAGGACUAUGUCGAUGGUUUCCAUGGUUUCAGGGGGGGGGGGAGGGGAUUACACACACACUCGUGAAAACAGUGAGAAAAAACCCAGAGGAUGUUUUCAACGGAGCAGUGUGUCGUUUCCUUUUCAGGAGUGUCGUCGUUACCACAUAAAGAAAGUGGUGUUGGGUUUUAUGUACUGAGGAAUACGAUUCUUACAAGAGUGCUAAUUCCAUCCAUCCAUUAUCUAUACUGGUUGGCUUGAGUCAGUCCCAGUUAACGUUAAGGUUACACCAUGGAGAGGUGGCCAGGGGCGAUGUACAGACACAAACACACUUACUGGCAAUUUAGAGUCCACAAUUAAUCUGACAACAUGUCUCUGGACUGUAGGAGGAAGCUUGAGGUCCCACAUAUGAGGAGAACAUGCAAAUUCCACACCGGACGACUGACUACUUGUCUUACUCUUUAUCAAAGGGACUUUUUAAAUCAGUGGAUUGAGGAGUUUACAAUACGAUAAUGUGGGAAUAUAAUAAUAAUCCUUUUUUUAACCACUAUGGGGAAAUUACACGUGUAACCAGCAUCAGCAGAUAUCAGCAAAGGGGAUAAACAUAUAUUGGCCAUGACAUGGUUUCAGUGACGGGGUUCAUGAGCUCAUCUGCUUGGACAGAAGAUUUUGUGAUUGACUGAGAACUUCUCACACUGGUUUUCAGGUUGUGACUCCAGUUUGGUUUUGGUUAUGACUUUUAAUCCCUCUUCCACUUCCCUUUUCACCCCUGACCUUCACCUUUUUGGUGUGCGGCGAGGAGUCCAGGGUGCUGCCGUAGUCCUGGGGGUGCAUCAUGGUCAUGUCGGAGCAGCUGUCGUCCAGCACCUCCUGCAUGCUGUUCACGCUGCUGCUCUGGCUGCCUGUGCUGACCGAGGUGCUGGGGAUGGAGUGGUUGCUGCCCAGGCUGUUCAUCUUACAGCUGGCCGCCUCGCUGUCCUGCAGGGGAACGUCCACACACAUGCAUGAAGAUGUGGCUCCACAAACGAGUGCUCAAGAGUCAUGCACUCGUGUCUUUCUUUAAAACCAACAACCUCAGGAUUGAUUCAAAACUAUGCUUAUUUGUGUUCUACCCUAACUCUUAGGAUGCUUGUAUCAUUUUGUGGUGUCAGUGAGUGAUCAUGAUACAUAAAGCGGAAUCAAACUGCACAACUUUAAAGAGCAGCGCAGUCUUCAAGUCUCCAGUGAGAGAGUUGUAGAUCAGGAGGCUAUAAUCAAUCUUUCCACUGCACCCUCUCCUAAAACCAGAACGCUUUGGGACUGCAGGGUUUUAUACAGUACAGUGUUCAGGGGUGUCUCGUUGCACUGAGGUCUGGUGGCUGCUCUGGAUUGCAUCACGUGGUGUAAGAUGACAGGACUUGUGGCUGCUGGCUGCCCGUGCCGGUUCAUGCUUCCUCAGACCAGGUCAACUAACGGGCAUUUCAAACCGACGUCAGGCUGCGGCAGCUGCAGAAGAAAGGCUUCUACAACAUCCGCUCGGACAAAGACACCUGUCCUCUCCCUCUGUACAGUGAGUCUCAGUUCCUCUGUUGGAUGCAGAUAAUCCUGCAAUGUUGACUCAGAUCAAGUGAAAUCAGUCUCUCACUGCAGAGCAAUUCUGUGCUUGAAUUAGAAUAAGAAACUGAUGGGCUGCAGUGGAAAAGGACGAUCAAUCCACUUAGAAAAACGUGUGAUCCAACAAAUUCUGUUAAAUGUUUCAGUCCAUUUCUAAGAAUAAAUGUGCAGCUUCUCCGACCUGUGUUCGUGCUGUGGUAUCUUUUUUUCCUGAAAUUGUAAAAGUGACCUGCAGACAUAAAAACCAGCUGCUGCACAAAGAGCUGUUCACCUAUUCAAAGUGAAGAUCAGCAUGGUGAACAGAUCCGGAACUGGAGAAUCUGAUGUUGUUAUUGACAAGGUCACUGCUUUGUUCAGAUUUAAUCAUCAUCAAAAUGUUGAAAACAUCCUAUCUUGUUAAAGAUAGUGAUCCUGGAUCCCUACCAACAUGUGAUGGGUUCUUCUAUGACAUGUACCACAUACUACCACCAAAAUGUCAGCCCGUUGUGCUUCUCCUGGUAGAGGAUCUUCUUCAUCUUGCGGUACUGCAGGUUGUCCAGCUCACGCACUGCGUCCUUGGUCCUCUGGAUGAGUUCGAGGAGAAUGCGUGGCGACCGCUCCCGACGCACAAAAUCAUGCUGGACAGAGAAAGAGAGGGAGAGCGUCGAUUAGUAUGUCGGGUCUUAAGUUAGCUGUAGAAGGAGGAAACACUUGUUUUUGUCUUUCUUAAACUGUACUCUGAUCUGUUUAAAGUUACGUAGUAAGGUCACUCUACAUAUGAUACAAUUUUUUGGUGUUAAAUGAUUAACGAUAGUCUACAUGUUACAGUUUACAGAAAUUGUAUCUAGUAAUCUAAAUAUCGAUAGCAAAUAAUAAACAAUAAAGUAAAACAAAAAGAUGGUGUUUGCUGGAUUAGAUCGAAUAGAUUAGGUACUUCUCAGCAAAUACGAAAAACUGUGAUUGAAGCACAGCUUUAAGAUCUAACUAGAUAUGAAUUGUGUUUGAAGUAGAUCAUAUUUGACAUAUUUUCAAUGCGCUGCUUUUAACUUGUUUCAUCCAUUCAUUUCAAUAAACACCACAACUGUGCCUGUCACUAGAGGGCGCCUGCAGGUUGCUCAGCUGAUCCUGGGACUCACAGCUUCCUGUGAAAGACUGUCAUAAAAUCGAUUUUCUCAAAUACCCCUGAUCCUCUUCUUUCCAGUGACUAAUGUCUUCUCUGUAUUUGCAUCUGCAUUAAUGACAUCUUUAAUUAAAUUAUGGCAAGGCACAGAAACAACUGUUUAAGAAUAUGAUGAUAAUGAGAGGCUUUUAGGUCUACAAUUAUGUAAAUGUAUUUAAGGGUUAUUAUAGAAUCAUCCUUUCCACUAAAGAGGGUGGUGACACAUUUCGAUUUUUAAGCUAUGAAAGGUUCUUCUUUAGUUCGAUGAAGGUGUGUCUUUGUGUAUUUAUGAAAUUAUUCAACCUGUUACACAAUCAGGUCAGAGAGGGGGG